rnacentral:rRNA from 1 species
UACGGAGGGAGCUAGCGUUUGUUCGGAAUUACUGGGCGUAAAGCGCACGUAGGCGGCUUUGUAAGUUAGAGGUGAAAGCCUGGAGCUCAACUCCAGAAUUGCCUUUAAGACUGCAUCGCUUGAAUCCAGGAGAGGUGAGUGGAAUUCCGAGUGUAGAGGUGAAAAUUCGUAGAUAUUUGGGAGGAACACCAGUGGCGAAGGCGGCUCACUGGACCGGUACUGGACGCUGAUGCGCGAAAAGCGUGGGG